rnacentral:tRNA from 1 species
GGGCCGGUAGUCUAGCGGAAGGAUGCCCAGUCGCGCGACCCGCGGCGCAUAGGCCUUGCACGCGGGUGAACCCGGGAGGGUGUUCCCCGGGAAUUCGAAUCCCGGCCGGUCCACCA